rnacentral:lncRNA from 1 species
AUACUUAUUCGAAUAAAUGAAGCGGGUAGAUCACUACCUUCUCGAUUUUUACUUUUUUUGUUUUUCUUUUUGUUGCUACUCUUUGACGCUUUUCCCCAUCGGAGGUUCUGGCUGCUUUCACUUUGUAAGCUUAGUUCAUUUUCCGAAUGAAUGAAGCGGGUAGAUCACUACCUAUUUCUCCAAAAAAAUAAAAAUAAAAAUAAAAUAGUUAUACUUAUCCAUCAGUUAGCAAUUUAGCAGCACAAAAGAAUGUGAUGCUUCAUUUGAGCAACAUAUGUAUGUGACACAGCUAAUCGAUAAAUAUGAACCUGCAAACCAAUUUGAGUUUAAUUCUAAACAAUUGUCAAGUAAUUUGUAAAAUACGUUCUGUAGUCCGAUUAUUUCGAUUGUUUUUCUUUUAGAGAUAGAUAUCAUGCUAUCAGCUUCGUUUAUUUCUUUUUGAAAUAAACUUAGAUAGAAAUGUGAAUCAAUUAGGAUUUGAACUUGGGACCUCGGAUACCAACCACCAAGUCUGAUUCUUUCGAUUGUUAUACUGAGAUUUGGAGUUGUGUUUUGAAGUUGAAAUGCAGUGAAGGU